GGGGCGGAGAAGCAGAGCAGGGCGGCGCGUUCAGGGGAAGAAGCGGAGCACGCUUCAGACAGAACAAGUCACAUACACAUGAAAUAUGAAAAAAUGCACUUUCAGCUCUCCAUGGUGGAGGACAAGGAAGAGAUUCAGAUAAGGCAGAGGCUUGAAUACUAGGUAAAGCCUUUCAGAUAAAUGAUCUUUCAGUUGGUGAUAAAAUGACACCCGAAGAAAGAAAUUGAAGUGAUUUGACCUAAGAACUUAUUUUUACCUUUCUCUGCUGAUGAAUCUACUCAUUGACACUUCGCUAUCUGCCUAGGGAUAGCUCAUUUGGAUAUGCAGCCAUGGCAUUUACAGACAUAAAUGUAUAACUUUGUUCAUGCAUAAGCACAUAUGAAAAUCUGUCCCACAAAGUAAAGAAAACAAAACAUUAAGGGGGACACAUUUUGAACAUGCUGUGUUCAAAAAAAGGUGUGUAAAACAGGAAAUAGGUUUAAGUCGUUUGCUAUCCAGAUCUGUACUUGCUGGUUUUAGGUGUUAAGAGCUUGGGAAUGUAUUACAAACAUUAAAUUAAUUUAAAUUAGUAGCUUGUAUCUGCUAGGCACAAUGCAGAAAAAUACUUCUGUCUCAUGGAGCUUAUAGUUCUGGAGAGUAACUGGUAUCUGAUAUGCUAUACAAUUCAAAAUAUUUAUAUACAUUCCACAUUUAUAGGUGUGUGGGGGGGGUGUGUGAGAGAGAGACUGUUACAGGAAAUCCACACAAAGGCCUGUGUGGGGAUGUUUUUGAAAAAGCCAGCAUAAGCCUGCAUGGAAAGGGUUUUUUAAAAUUCUUGUUUUCUAGAUGGACAAAAGUGUCAAACGACAGAACUUUGAUUCCUUUUCAUCAUAGAAGUAUAAGCCCACUAGUAUUUAGAUUUCAACCGAAUCUGAAACCCCAUAUGGUAAAUUUUAGCCUAGAACAGUGGUUUUCAAACUUUAGGCUGCAUACCUCUUUCCAAAGGUAGUCUACCACAUACCCCUACCUAUGAUUAGAUUGCCAAGUCUUACUAAAUAAAAUGUGUUGUCUGCUCUUACAGGAUUUUUCCUUGCAUACCCCCGACGAGAGCUUGCAUACCCCAAUUUGAAAGCUAUUGGCCUAGAGAAAAACUGCUCAGUGCAAGCAAUGAUAUAAGGCUGGGCUGAUAUAAACAUUAAUAGUAGUAGUACCGAUGCAUUUAGAGAUGGUGGUUUAAAGUCAAGAUAAUGCUUAAUAGACCAACAUUCUGCUUCUAAUUAGUACAUUAAACAAAUGGGAUUACAAUGUUAUUUCAGUGACAUCACAAAAAACUUAGAGACUGAACAUAACUGUUUCUAAAGGAGUUAAUUUAAAUAAGGGCUGUAAUUAAUUGCAGUUAA